UUUGGCAUUCGGCUUGCGAUCAGCAAUCGCGUUACCGACAGCAUGCAACAGGUGAGUUUUACCCAGACCGGUACCCCCGUA
rnacentral:antisense_RNA from 1 species